rnacentral:rRNA from 1 species
GACGAACGCUGGCGGCGCGCCUAACACAUGCAAGUCGAGCGGGAAACUUUUUAAGGAUUCUUCGGAUGAAUUAAAAGUGGAGAGCGGCGGACGGGUGAGUAACGCGUGAGAAACCUGCCCUAUACAGGGGGAUAGCCAUUGGAAACGAUGAUUAAUACCCCAUAUGACCACAGUAUCGCAUGAUACAGCGGUGAAAACUCCGGUGGUAUAGGAUGGUCUCGCGUCUGAUUAGGUAGUUGGUGGGGUAAUGGCCUACCAAGCCGACGAUCCAUAGCUGGUUUGAGAGGAUGAUCAGCCACACUG